UAUCGCGUAGCUCAGUUGGAAGAGCAUUGGGCUAGUAUUCCAAAGGUCGUAGGUUCGAAUCCCACCGUGGCCG